UCUGGGUUAGGCCCUGAACCCUUACAACUCCUUGUCCCCCACUGCGGUUCCGGAGCCCCUUAACUCCCACCAUUCCGCCAGCCCACCAGGAGUCCCCAUUCCCAGGCCAAGCUCACUUUUCGGGGCGGCGGCUGCAUCUCCGAUCCGGCCAAGGCGAGCGACUCGACUCCGGAACUCGAGGAAGCCCCGCCCACGCCAAAGCCCCGCCCCGGACCUGGCUCAGCUCCGCCCCCGUCCCGCCCACGCCUCGUCCGACUUCGCGCAGGGCUGCGAAGCGCGAAGGUGCCGAGAAGAAACCGGAUCAACUUCUGUUACUACUGCUAAAACUCCGGAAAGGGUCAGAGCCGCCGAGUGGACGCCGCGUCUGCUGCGCGAUCUCCGGUGAUGGCGCGAAGGGUGACGUGUGGCAAGGAGGAACUCAGUUUGUGACCAGGGAAACUGAGUCACUGGAUGCCUGAGCAAAGAUGAUUUUGACAAGGGAAACAGGACUGUUCUCAGACCCUUCCCAAAUUCCCAGAGAACUGGAAAAGCCAGCGUGAGUGGUGAGAAAAUUGCCUGGAGCCAGGAAGAAACCAGUCCCAGAGGAAAACAGGUGUGUCUGGGGCCAAUGGAAGCUAAAUGGUACUUGUGAGUGGAUAUAAGCGGGGAGAUGGGUGUGGGGCCUUGCGUCCCAGAAGGCCCCUCUCACCGUUAGGGCCUACUUUUCAGGUUCUGCACUGCAGUCCUGUGGCCCCAAAUUCACAUUUCCAACAGACCACUGACACCAGCACUUGUAUAUCUAAUAGAUACCUCAAACCUUUAAAACUGCUUCUUCUCCCUGACCCUUCCCAAGUUAUCUUCCCCAGAUAAAAUACCAAAGGCACCUCUUUCCAUCCAGUUAGGAAAGUCUGAAACCCAGAGUCAGUCUGCCCUUUUCUCAUACCCCCACAUUCCAUCCGUUAGCAAGUUCUAUAGGUUCUAUUUCUAAAAGAUCUCUUAUUGAUCACCUUCCUUGAAUUCCCAAAACCACCAACCUAGUCCAAGCCCCAUAAUCAGUUUUCUGUCUAAUAUCUGGUCUUUCACUCUCUCCCCACCCCCAACUCCCUCCAUAACCCAUUGUUCACAAAAUAGCCAGUGAUUUAUCUUUUUUUAAAAAAGAAAAUGAGAUCAUAUCACUCUCUUCCUUAAAACUUCUCAGUUGCUUUAGAAUAAAAUCCAAACACCCUAGCAUGGCCUGCAAGGCUGUGCAUUAUUGGGCCCCUGCCAAUCUUUCCCCUUUCGGCCCAUACACUUCUCUGGCUCCUCACUCACUGUGCUUCACAACUCCAGCCUCCUUGAUGUUUCCCCAGCAGGCCAAGUCUUCCCAUUGCAAAGCCUUCAUGCCUGCUGCUUUCCCUCUCCUUCUGGAAUGCUCCUUCUUCCAGUACUCCACAUGUCUGGCUUCUUUAUUUUUUAUUUAUUAAAAACAUUUUUUUUUAGUUUUUUUAUUUAUUUUGAGAGAGAGAGAGAACAGGGGAGGGGCUGAGAAAGAGGGAGAGAAAAUAUCCCAAGCAGACUCUGUGCAGUCAGAGCAGAGCCCUAUGUGGGGCUUGAACUCACCAACUGUGAGAUUGUGACCUGAGCCAAAAUCAAGAGUUGGACACUUAACCAACUGAGCCACCCAGGCAUCUCUUUAUUUUUUAAGUUUUUUAAUUAUUUAAGCAAUCUCUACACCCAACAUGGGGCUCACACUCAUGACCCUGAGAUCAAGAGUUGCAUGCUUUUUUGACUGAGCCAGCCAGGUGCCACCGAAUCAAGUCCCAUUAGUUUUUUUUGUUUGUUUGUUUGUUUGUUUUGUUAAGUACACUCUAUGCCCAGCAUGGGUUUGAACUCACAACCCUGAGAUUAAUCUGAAGUACUCUACUGACUGAGCCAGUCAGGCACACCUAUCUGGCUUCUUUAAGUUUCAGCUCAUUACAGAGGCCUUCCCCAUCCUCCCAGCCUAAGGGCCAUCUCCACAAACACAUCACUUUAGGUUUAAUUUCUUCACAUCACUGAGUUAGUUUGUGUAUUUAAUGUUUUCUAUUCCUCUACACUGGAAGCUCCAUAAAAGCAGGACCCAUCUGUUCUGUUCACACUGAAUACCUAACACCCAAUUAGGUGCUCAGUACAUAUUUGCUGAAUGAAUGAAUGAAUGAAUGAAUGAAUGAAGCAACAGUAGCCUUUGGUUCCAAGGUUUAUUAACAAUGACACAUCUUUGUUGGCUCCUCUUUACCCCAACUCUCAACCCCAAUCAAUCUCCCGACUCUAGGUCUUCAAUGUAGUUCCCAAAUGUAGGAGGUGGGGUAGGAUAGACUUGGAAAUCAUUCAGCUCUCUGGCUUCCAAAUCCUUUUUUUUAUUUAAUGCAGUAAAACCAUUCUUUUCAAACCCAAAAUGUCUCACAGGACACCUACAUAUCAAAUAUAUAAGGAGUUGUCCUUGAUGAGGAAACAUAUGUGGGGCUUACUGCUCUAAGAAACAGUUUGAUGUUCACUGUUCUCCUUAUUUCAGUGACAUCAUGGUACAUAUAAUGAGUGGAGGUUCAGUGAGGGCCACAUUCUGACCCUCUCUGGGCAGGAGAGUCCAGAGCCCUGAGUCCUGUGGUCUUUCCAUAGCACCGCACUGGAUUUUAGAGUCUUUCCAUCCAGAGCAGAGGAGGCUCCCAGCAGUGUCUGCCAUGGUGAGAACUUGGGUCUUCUGGUUACCUACCCCUUCAGACUUCUGGUCUUAGGGUCAUGUGAGGGGCUGGCUGGAGGGUGAACUAGAAGAGGAAGGUUGGGUGGGGAAGCCAGGUGUCUGUGUCACAAGGCCAUUGGGGCUCGGGGACUGAGGGCUGGAGGGCUGGGAGGGGCUGCCUAGGCCUAUGGUGGUUUCUCCCUUCCUCAGGAUGAGGCUGUUAAGCUCUUGGAGCAGCUGUUCCUCCAGGGACCCACGUGCCUGGGAGCUGCUCUUUGAAGGGGGGCCUGGAGGGAGCUCUGGUGGCCUUUCCUCUGGGCCUGGGGCACCUGCCUUGGGGAAAAAGGGUUGAUCAAAGGACCUCUGGCUGGUGAGGGGCGUCUCAGGGUUGGCUGUCUGAUCUCUCAUGGUGGAGAAGGAGGUAGAGGUGUCCUUGGUCAGUUCAGGGAAGGCUCCCACUUCCUCAUACACUGGCUCCUCAUAGACAGGCUCCUCCAGUUCCUCUUGCUCCUCCACAGACCCCUGGGUUGACUUCAUUGG